UUGCUUCUGCAGCACAUACCCUAAAAUUGAAAUGAUGCAGAGAGGAUUAUUAUGGCCCUCACACAAGGAUGACAUGCAUUCAUGAAGUGUUCCAUAUUUUG
ensembl:snRNA U6 U6 spliceosomal RNA